rnacentral:rRNA from 1 species
UCGUGGAGUGAUUUGUCUGCUUGAUUGCGAUAACGAACGAGACCUCCGCCUGCUAGAUAGUGCUGCGAAUCUUGCAUUCGUAGACACUUCUUAGAGGGACAACCACCGCAAGGUGGGGGAAGGCUGGAGGCAAUAACA